UACAUUUACAGAAGAAAUGGAAAGGCCAGUAGCUAUAUAUCAGUGUGACGUCAGGCUGCAGACUACAAGAAUGCUGGUGCAUCAGAUAAUGAGUACAUUAGUCUGGAUUUCAAGGGACCUGUGCUGCAUAGAAGCAAGGAUCCUCUUCAGAGCAUUUCUUUUCUCCCUUAAACAAAUUUUUACUGAAGGCAAUGUUGUAUUUGUGGAGUGAAAGCAGUUGGCAUCAAGUGAACUCUUUUAUUGCUGUGAUCAUGAACAACAACAGCACACAAAUGCAGCGCUCCUGUAUCUUCUCGGCCACUGCCGCAUGAGGGGACUCAAGGAAAAAAAGGACAUGACAUGAAUUCUGUCUGCACUAACAAGGACCAAUGUCCUGUGUGCUAAAACGGUAUCUUGGGUGAAUACCCAUGCCACACAAAACUAUAAUGCUCUCUUGUGCGUACAUAACAGGUAGCUCUGGUCUUCCUGAUCUACAAAGUGGUUUAGUGCUUUGUAGGUUUUUUUCUGCCUAGCCAUUGCUCUUAAGGACAUGCCUACCCAUGAUUGUUUGUUAUUAUAAAAAAAAAUAUUGUUUUAAUUAUGGUUUGGCUUAUUGAAUUACCUCUGCUGUAUCAGUUAUAUCCGUUUAAAUGAACUGAUUUACACCUGUCCAUUAUAAUUGGGCUUGUGGAAUUGUCACUAAUUAAUUUAGAGGAUGUUGUGUAAUUUGUAUAAAGCCUUUCGGAUUAAGAGUUAUUGAGAAAUAAACUGAAUUUUUCAUUUAUAUU
rnacentral:lncRNA from 1 species